UUACUGGGAUGCCCCAGGCAAGUACUGGCUAAAGCAGACAGGAGCCAGUUGCUGAAUGGAGGAAGAAAAAGAUUCUCUUCAGAUAAGAGCAUGGGAAAAGAAAGAAUGGAAAUUUCAUGAUAGGUUAAAGGAGCUUUUAAUGUGCAGAAUGUAAUAUUUCCCUGUCGGGCAGAGAGGAAUUCUUUCAAGGCCAGAUGAGGAGCUGUUGUCGACUGGAUGGGAACCAGAGGAAAUGCUUUACCCUGGAAAACUCCCACCUUCCCUCUCCCGUGGAGCUGGAGAGUGUGCUGCCCACUCUGCCCCACUGGGAUGGGAGCUGCAGCAUCUCUGGGUCAAGGAGGAGGUUUCCACCUCGGGAGAGGACACAGAGCAGGUCCUGUGAGCUGGAGAGAUGAGGACAAGUGGAGGAAAUGACUCUGUUCUGUUGAGAUGAACUUCAUUAAUGGUGUCAAAACAAGGCCCCAAAGCCAGCAGAUAAAUGAACUGGGUUUGUGCCACCUGCCCUCCAG